UAGGGAAUCUUCCACAAUGGACGAAAGUCUGAUGGAGCAACGCCGCGUGAGUGAUGAAGGGUUUCGGCUCGUAAAACUCUGUUGUUGGAGAAGAACGGGUGUCAGAGUAACUGUUGACAUCGUGACGGUAUCCAACCAGAAAGCCACGGCUAACUACGUGCCAGCAGCCGCGGUAAUACGUAGGUGGCAAGCGUUGUCCGGAUUUAUUGGGCGUAAAGCGAGCGCAGGCGGUUUUUUAGGUCUGAUGUGAAAGCCUUCGGCUUAACCGGAGAAGUGCAUCGGAAACCGGGAGACUUGAGUGCAGAAGAGGACAGUGGAACUCCAUGUGUAGCGGUGAAAUGCGUAGAUAUAUGGAAGAACACCAGUGGCGAAGGCGGCUGUCUGGUCUGCAACUGACGCUGAGGCUCGAAAGCAUGGGUAGCGAACAGGAUUAGAUACCCUGGUAGUCCAUGCCGUAAACGAUGAGUGCUAAGUGU
rnacentral:rRNA from 1 species